rnacentral:antisense_RNA from 1 species
AGAAGCAACACCCUAGAUGGAUGUACAGCCAUCAAGAGGAUCUUAAAGUGUGGUCCUUAGUGGAAAAAAAGCUGGAGUGCAAUGGCGUGGUAUCGGCUCACUGCAACCUCUGCCUCCUGGGUUCAAGCGAUUUUCCUGCCUCAGUCUCCCAAGUAGCUGGGAUUACAGGCAUGUGUCAUCAUACCUAGCUAAUUUGUCCCAUAGAAUAUCAUUUUCUGGAUUUUGUGGCUAUUUUCUCAUGGUGUUGAUUCAUUCAUAAGGUAAAAUUUAUAUACAGUGAAAGGCAUCUGAUGGGUACAAUUCAAUGAGUUUUGAACGGUGUGUAUAUCCAUGUAACCACCACCCAGAUUAAGCCACAGAACAUUCCCAUCACCUCAGAAUGUUUCCCGGUGCCUUCUUCCUACCCCGCAUAGGGUAACAUUGUCAUAAUUUCUAUUGCUACAUAUAUGUUUACCUGUUUUGAAACUUCACAGAAAUGGAAUUAUAUAUUAUGUAUUUGUUUGUUACUGGCUUUUUAUCAUUUAAUAUAUAUUUUUUUAUUCAUCCACACCCAUUGCAUGUGUCAGUAUUUCAUUCCUUCUUGUUAUUGUGUAGUAUACGAAUAUAUAAAUAUAUCACAAUUUAUUUUUGCAA